ensembl:lncRNA
GGGGUCAGAAGGUCAUGAGCUGUAACCAGAAAAACAACUGACAUUUGGGAAUUUUAAAUAUGUGGUCAAUUUUCAGAAUGAGAGAAUUAGGUGAAAAAGAGGCCUUGCUUGUUAAACAAGUGGAUUCGGGGAUCAAGUGGAGCUGGAGCUGGGCCUGGCUUAAACUGGAUGCCACUAUAGAGAUGGUGACGAGCCUGCAGCAACACCACCAACAUGUCACAGACAUCACAGCCCCAUAAAUAGCUGCUAGAAACUGAGGGAAACUCAGAUAUCAACCCUGCGUCCUCCCUCUGUAAAACAACACACAGAACCGUCUAGACAACCAGGUGGACCUCCGGCGCAGGGGGCAUCCGAAAUGAGAGUAGGCCUUCGACACAGUGGACCGAGAAGCAUUGCUCAACAAUUUCGAGCCUGGAAUGGAUACGUGACUGUGAACAGGAAGACACGCCCAUAUGUACCUGUUUGACGCCUGCAUACCUCAUGUGUACAUACAAGACGUCCUGUUUCCUGUUGUUUCGUUUAUCAACCCGCUGAUAUCCUGCUGAGGAUAUUUGUUACAGAAAAGAGGGGACACACAUCCUACAAGAUUAAAUUCCUCAGCAGUUGGAGAAGAAAACUUGGCCUUUUUCCUUCUGGAGGAAUUGAAGAAACUGCAUGUUGUAUCAGACUACUGUAUCAGGAGACUACUGUAUCAGGAGACUACUGUAUCAGACCACUGUAUCAGACUACUGUAUCAGGAGACUACUGUAUCAGACUACUGUAUCAGGAGACUACUGUAUCAGGAGACUACUGUAUCUGGAGACCACUGUAUCAGACCACUGUAUCAGACAACUGUAUCAGGAGACUACUGUAUCAGGAGACUACUGUAUCAGACCACUACUACUGUAGACUACUGUAUCAGACUACUGUAUCAGGAGACUACUGUAUCAGGAGACUACUGUAUCAGACCACUGUAUCAGACUACUGUAUCAGGAGACUACUGUAUCAGACCACUGUAUCAGGAGACUACUGUAUCAGACUACUGUAUCAGACUACUGUAUCAGGAGACUACUGUAUCAGGAGACUACUGUAUCAGACUACUGUAUCAGCAUUGAAUUCCCACUAACCCUAAUCUGAUCCACUUUUUGCAGACACUCACUACUGUUAGCAGAUGUUUGUACUCGUUAUGCAGAUAAGGAUAAUUCAUCUAAAUUACUCAGUAAUUCAUGUUUUAAUCCGCUGAAAAUUGCAUUCUGUAAAUGUGCCUUACACUGGAAUAUUGUAGCAUUGUGAUUUUCCCAUUUUACCCAAUCCAAGGAAAGAAGAUCUUAUUCGGGAA